rnacentral:rRNA from 1 species
UACGUAGGGGCCUAGCGUUGUCCGGAAUUACUGGGCGUAAAGCGCACGUAGGCGGCUUUGCAAGUUAGAGGUGAAAGCCCGGGGCUCAACUCCGGAAUUGCCUUUAAAACUGCAUCGCUAGAAUUGUGGAGAGGUAAGUGGAAUUCCGAGUGUAGAGGUGAAAUUCGUAGAUAUUCGGAAGAACACCAGUGGCGAAGGCGACUUACUGGACACAUAUUGACGCUGAGGUGCGAAAGCGUGGGGAGCAAACAGG